GAUGAACGCUGGCGGCGUGCCUAAUACAUGCAAGUCGAGCGAACGGACGAGAAGCUUGCUUCUCUGAUGUUAGCGGCGGACGGGUGAGUAACACGUGGAUAACCUACCUAUAAGACUGGGAUAACUUCGGGAAACCGGAGCUAAUAUCGGAUAAUAUUUUGAACCGCAUGGUUCAAAAGUGAAAGACGGUCUUGCUGUCACUUAUAGAUGGAUCCGCGCUGCAUUAGCUAGUUGGUAAGGUAACGGCUUACCAAGGCAACGAUGCAUAGCCGACCUGAGAGGGUGAUCGGCCACACUGGAACUGAGACACGGUCCAGACUCCUACGGGAGGCAGCAGUAGGGAAUAUUCCGCAAUGGGCGAAAGCCUGACGGAGCAACGCCGCGUGAGUGAUGAAGGUCUUCGGAUCGUAAAACUCUGUUAUUAGGGAAGAACAUAUGUGUAAUUAACUGUGCACAUCUUGACGGUACCUAAACAGAAAGCCACGGCUAACUACGUG
rnacentral:rRNA from 1 species